ACCUUCGAAAAAGCGGAGGGAGAGGCGCGGCGUCGUCCUCGCGCUCGUCGGCUCUCCGCCCUGGCCCCAUCCCUUUGCCCUUGCCUCGCUUCCAACCUUCCUCUAAUUUCCCUCGGGAACUUGCUGAACGUCGCUUUGGGAAAUUAAUUCGGCCAGGGCUUGGGGGCUGGGAGCGCGAUCUGGGGAUGGGGAGGCCCCGCCGCGGAGGGUCACGGAGGCCUCCCCGAGGCCUGGGAAGUGGAAGGGCACACGGAUGGGAUUAACGGUGGUGGAGAAAGGGGCUGUGUGUGAAAUCUGACUAGGUGUGCCGUGUGGCCCUCCGGUGGGCUGGCUGUGCGCUGGCAUGUGACUUCACUGAGUAGGUGUCUUUGUAUGUCUGAAAUGCAGUGAGUGUGUGGGACUGCCCGUGUCAGUUACAUGUGUGCAUGUGGAGACGUAGGUGAUUUGGAGCCAUGUUGCCGCUUUGUGAGUGCCAGCGGCUGCGCCGUGUUCUCGUGCUGUCUCAGAGUAUGUGCCAGGCUAUGCCCAAACCCUGGCCAGCCGUGUGUCUCCGGGUCGCGUGGGCGCGCCUCUGUUGCUGUGUGUGAAUCGGUGUCAGCUUGUGUCAGUGUGUGUGCCUGUGCUGAGUAAAUGAGGCCAGAGAGCUGCUUAGCACAAGGCCUGGGUCACAUACCCUCCUGGAAAAGGGAUCAUGGAAGGACAGUGACCAGCAGGACAGGACAGGGGAGGAGAGGGCCCUGCCCCUUGGACUUUGGUCUCUGGUCGUCUCCCUCCCUGGCACUCUCCCUACCCCUUUACCCCAGAGGAGAAACUCGCGCCCAAGUCACACAGACCUGGUGCUGGGGACCCAGGCGGCUGACAAACCCCUGGCUCUCCCAGCAGGUUCAGGAUGAAGGAUCAGCCCACCCUGUGGCAGGGCAGUGGGGACAGCAAAGGAGCAGGUAGAAGAAACCUAGGGGGAGUGAAAGGAUCAGGUGUUCUGUGCUCUCCUUAAAGGGGUAAAGGAAUAGGGUGUCCCUUCUGCCCAGCCAUUCUGCACCAGCUGUCUCUCCUGUUCCCAGUCCUGGUCCAGCAAGGACACACCCUCCCACAGAGAUCAGUUCACACCGAAAACUUCCAUCCACAUGGAAUCAGAUACACACAGUUGCACACCAACACCAGAGCAGGUCACCCAGAGACACCCCAGUGUCACUCAGUGCCUGCCGUGGGGUGGAGUUCAGAGAGGCCUGGAAUCUAAGUUGGAAGGGCCAGUGUGGGUGGUAUCCAGAGAGAGGGGUCUGCCUCUGCCCGGAAGGGUGUGCCUGCUAGGCUCUGGGAUGAAGGGCCAGGUGGUGGGAGGGUCUUCUAGAUAGGUACCUCCCCCAUCUCAGGCCUCCUCUGCUACCGUGAUGCUCUUUCCCCAUGUGCCUUUUAUCCUCCUUUCCCUACAUUCCCCCUGGAAGCUACCCUGCCACUGCACCAAUGCACAUGCCACGGCCUGUGCCGCGGAGGAAACUACUUAAACUGUUUGGGGACCUGAAGGAGAAGAAAGAGAAGGUGGAGGAGAAAGCCAGCCGGAAAGAGAGGAAGAAAGAAGUGGUGGAGGUGUGGAGGGUCUCCUGCAUCCCCCCCCACCCCCAGGACCCUUUCCUUGAGUGGUGGGCGGUGAUGGUGGAGGCACACAGUCAACCUCACUCUGUCCCUUCCCUGGUCCUGACAGGAGGAGGAAAACGGAGCUGAGGAGGAGGAAGAAGAAACUGCUGAGGAUGGAGAGGAGGAGGAUGAAGGGGAAGAAGAAGAUGAGGAAGAAGAAGAAGAUGACGAUGAAGGGCCCGCGCUGAAGAGAGCUGCUGAAGAGGAGGAUGAAGCGGAUCCCAAGAGGCAGAAGACAGAAAAUGGGGCAUCGGCAUGAGCCCCCUGCCAAUGGGCUGGGGGUGGGAGGCCCCUCGGCCUGGAGGCGGGGUGGGAACAGACAAGUGCAGCCCUCUUCACCUGGCUGCCUGCUCUGGGCCCUGAGCCGGAGCCCCACCCUCCUCCCCCCAGCCUUCUCAUUUCCGCCUCUCCAGACACUGUCCCCCCAUCCUCACUGCCAUUGUCCCACUAUCUGACCUGCUCCUUCUGAGCUCCCAGCUGCUCCCCAGCUGCUCCUCUCCCUCUCCCUGCUCUCUUCCUCCCUGCCCUGAGCCAAGCCCACCUCUCUGCCAUAACCUCUGCAUCCCAGCCUCAUGUCCCGCCCGUCCCUACCCUGCCUGAUCCCUGGGUCUCCCUCAGAUCCCCUUCUCAGACAGUGCCAGACCAGGGUGGGGCCAGGGGUUGGGCCGAGCCCCACAGCUGCCCCCCUCCCCUCCCCUUUUUGUAUAAUUUAAUAAAGAAACGGUCGCGCUU